rnacentral:rRNA from 1 species
CAGUCGUGAGGAAGGUAGUGUAGUUAAUAGCUGCAUUAUUUGACGUUAGCGACAGAAGAAAGCACCGGCUAACUCCGUGCCAGCAGCCGCGGUAAUACGGAGGGUGCGAGCGUUAAUCGGAAUUACUGGGCGUAAAGCGCAUGCAGGUGGUUUGUUUAAGUUCAGAUGUGAAAGACCCGGGGCGUCAACCUCGGAAUUGCAUUUGAAACUAGGCAGACUAGAGUACUGUAGAGGGGGGUAGGAAUUUCUAGGUGUAGCGGUGAAAUAGCGUAGAGAUCUGAAGGAAUACCGGUGGCGAAGGCGGCCCCCUCGGACAGAUACUGACACUCAGAUGCGAAAGCGUGGGGAGCAAACAGGAUUAGAUACCCUGGUAG